GACGAACGCUGGCGGCGUGCCUAAUACAUGCAAGUCGAGCGAAUCAAUAGGAGCUUGCUCCUGUUGAUUAGCGGCGGACGGGUGAGUAACACGUGGGCAACCUGCCUGUAAGACUGGGAUAACACCGGGAAACCGGGGCUACUACCGGAGAAUCCUUUUCCUCUCAUGAGGGAAAGCUGAAAGGCGGUUUCUGCUGACACUUACAGAUGGGCCCGCGGCGCAUUAGCUAGUUGGGGAGGUAACGGCUAACCAAGGGGACGAGGCGUAGCCGACCUGUGAGGGUGAUCGGCCACACUGGGACUGAGACACGGCCCAGACGCCUACGGGAGGCAGCAGUAGGGAAGCUUCCACAAUGGACGAAAGUCUGAUGGAGCAACGCCGCGUGAGCGAUGAAGGCCUUCGGGUCGUAAAGCUCUGUUGUUAGGGAAGAACAAGUACCGGAGUAACUGCCGGUACCUUGACGGUACCUAACCAGAAAGCCACGGCUAACUACGUGCCAGCCGCCGCAGUAA
rnacentral:rRNA from 1 species